GGAAGGAAGUACGUGGACUAAAACUGCAGCAGCUGUGAAAGUUUGAUCCACAAACAUGGCCGCGCACGAGGAGUUCUUUGCGGGUAUACCCAAGAUCCAGUAUGUGCCAGAUGCUGGACCUGGAGAUGUCAUGUGCUUCAAACACUACAAUCCAACAGAGGUUCUGAUGGGGAGGACGAUGGAGGACUGGCUGAGGUUCUCCGUCUGCUACUGGCACUCCUUCUGUGGAACUGGUGCCGAUCCUUUCGGCUUUCCAACUCUCCUCCAGCGAGUCUGGAAUGAAGGGACUCCGAUGGAAGCAGCCAAGAAGCGACUCCGGGCUGCUUUUGAGUUUUUCACCAAGCUUGGCGUCAAGUUUUACACAUUUCAUGACAGAGACAUGUCCCCCGAGGGCGCCACCCUGGAGGAGUCCAACAAGAAUCUGGAUGAAAUAACGGACCUGGCUCUGCAGCUGCAAACCCAGACUGGAGUCAAGGUGCUGUGGGUCACCUGCAACCUCUUUGCUCAUCCAAGGUACAUGAAUGGUGCAGCCACAAACCCAGACUGCCAUGUUCUGGCCUAUGCUGGUGCUCAGGUGAAAAAGGGUCUGGAUGUUGCCAAGAAACUAGGUGCAGAGAACUUCGUAUUUUGGGGAGGAAGAGAAGGUUUCCACUCAAUCCUCAACACUGAUGUCGCUGCUGAACUGAAGCACAUGGCCGGCUUCUUCAAAAUGGCCGCCAGGUACAAAGAGAAGAUUGGGCUGAAGUGUCAGUUUCUGAUUGAGCCCAAGCCAAAGGAGCCCUGCAGACACCAGUAUGAUUACGACGCCAUGAGUGUUAUAGGAUUCCUAAAGCAUCACGGCCUGGAGAGGGACUUUAAACUGAACAUCGAGCCCAACCACACCACCCUGGCAGGACACUCCUAUGAACAUGACAUUGUCGUGGCCUCUGCUUUUGGUAUGCUGGGUUCAGUAGACUCAAACACUGGCUCUCCAGACCUGGGAUGGGACACAGAUCAGUUCCCCAUGGACAUCAGAAACACCACAUUGGUCAUGAAGACUAUCGUUGAACAAGGUGGCCUGCAGCCAGGAGGCCUGAACUUUGAUGCAAAGGUGCGCAGAGAGUCCACCGACCUGGAGGAUCUGUUCAUCGCUCACAUUGGGGCGAUGGACGCCUUCGCCAGAGGGUUGAGAAACGCUGUCCACAUCAUUGAGGACGGGCUUAUCACUGGCAUGGUGAAGGAGCGGUACUCAAGCUUCAGUCAUGGCCUUGGACAGAAGGUGGAGGACGGUUCAGCCACCUUAGAGGAGAUGGAGGCUUUCAUCAAGGAGAACGGGGAGCCGAAGGUAACAUCAGGGAAGCAAGAAAAAUACGAGUCCAUCUUUAAUCACUACAUAUAA
ensembl:lncRNA